AGGGAAGAAAUGAAACUCCAUGUGGGUGCUUGAUGCUUGACACAACUUGGCAUGAGCACGGCACACGUUGGCAUGCAUAUUUCUUCUCUUGGCAUGUGGAGAGUGGGGGCUCUAAAGGUGACGUGGAUAAAUCCAAGUAUGGCCCUAUCGACCCAAAGCUAAAUGCAUUAAAAAAUUAUUGACUGAAAAUAAAUAACUGAAGUAGAAUCAAUCUAAUGAGGCUUCUUCGAUCCAAAUCGAAUUUAAAUCAUGUUGUCGAUUUUUGAUGGCUCUGGUGUCCGUACCA
rnacentral:lncRNA from 1 species